rnacentral:rRNA from 1 species
CAGUCGCCGCGGGAAUACGAAGGGUGCAAGCGUUACUCGGAAUUACUGGGCGUAAAGCGUGCGUAGGUGGUGGUUUAAGUCCGUUGUGAAAGCCCUGGGCUCAACCUGGGAAUUGCAGUGGAUACUGGGUCACUAGAGUGUGGUAGAGGAUAGUGGAAUUUCCGGUGUAGCAGUGAAAUGCGUAGAGAUCGGAAGGAACAUCAGUGGCGAAGGCGGCCAUCUGGGACAACACUGACGCUGAGGCACGAAAGCGUGGGGAGCAAACAGGAUUAGAUACCCGCGUAGUCCCUGUCUCUUAUAC